rnacentral:rRNA from 1 species
ACGAGGGGGGCAAGCGUUGUUCGGAAUUACUGGGCGUAAAGGGCUCGUAGGCGGCCAACUAAGUCAGACGUGAAAUCCCUCGGCUUAACCGGGGAACUGCGUCUGAUACUGGAUGGCUCGAGUUUGGGAGAGGGAUGCGGAAUUCCAGGUGUAGCGGUGAAAUGCGUAGAUAUCUGGAGGAACACCGGUGGCGAAGGCGGCAUCCUGGACCAACACUGACGCUGAGGAGCGAAAGCCAGGGGAGCAAACGGGAUUAGAAACCCCCGUAGUCC